CUAGUCAUCAUCCAUCAGUUGGUAUUCACCCUAACUAGUUGCUAUCCACAAUGAAGCAAGUUUCCCUUCCCAUCCUCUUUUUUGCCCUUUCCUUGCUGCUCUCUGUGGCUUUUGCACGUAGUGUGGUUGAAAAACAGGACGAAAAGACUGCAACAGGCGAUAUUAUUUGUGGAGUCAGUUGCCACAAUGGUCGAUGCUGCGGAUAUGGUGAGAGCUGCUGCUCCGGCACUGGAUGCUGCCGAUCAGGUCAAACCUGCUGCGGCCAUCUUCUUUGCUGCGAUCUUAACGAGUAUGAUGCGUUCGUGAAUGCCCACGCCGUCCCUAGCAGGACAGCUGCCCUAGCAAACUGAAACCUUCUCAUCUCUGAUCUGUUAUCAACUUGAUCAUGAUGUUAAUGUGUGGUAACUUAUGGUGUAUCUGAAUAAUAAAGCGAGCGUGCUUAUUGUCUGCUACGACAGCAUGCAUGCUUAUGUACUUCCUACUAGUUUUUGUUGCCUGCAAGAACCAGAACCUGUGUUUUCGUCUUUCCUGCUUGUGUACUUGUGCAAUCCAAAUAAAUGCACCGAAGUUGUGCUUAGUUA